GUGCUCACUUCAACAGCACAUAUACUAAAAUUGGAAGGAUACAGAGGUGAGCAUGGCCCCCCACAAGGAUGACAUGAAAAUUCAUGAAACAGUCCAUGUUUUU
rnacentral:snRNA from 1 species